rnacentral:rRNA from 1 species
CGGUUGAUCCUGCCGGACCUGACUGCUAUCGGAUUGAUACUAAGCCAUGCGAGUCAUUGUAGCAAUACAAGGCAUACGGCUCAGUAACGCGUAGUCAACCUAACCUAUGGACGGGAAUAACCUCGGGAAACUGAGAAUAAUGCCCGAUAGAACAUUAUACCUGGAAUGGUUUAUGUUCCAAAUGAUUUAUCGCCGUAGGAUGGGACUGCGGCCUAUCAGUUUGUUGGUGAGGUAAUGGCCCACCAAGACUAUUACAGGUACGGGCUCUGAGAGGAGUAGCCCGGAGAUGGGUACUGAGACACGGACCCAGGCCCUAUGGGGCGCAGCAGGCGAGAAAACUUUGCAAUGUGCGAAAGCACGACAAGGUUAAUCCGAGUGAUUUCUGCUAAAGAAAUCUUUUGUUAGUCCUAGAAACACUAACGAAUAAGGGGUGGGCAAGUUCUGGUGUCAGCCGCCGCGGUAAAACCAGCACCUCAAGUGGUCAGGAUGAUUAUUGGGCCUAAAGCAUCCGUAGCCGGCUCUGUAAGUUUUCGGUUAAAUCUGUACGCUUAACGUACAGGCUGCCGGGAAUACCGCAUAGCUAGGGAGUGGGAGAAGUAGACGGUACUCGGUAGGAAGUGGUAAAAUGCUUUGAUCUAUCGAUGACCACCUGUGGCGAAGGCGGUCUACUAGAACACGUCCGACGGUGAGGGAUGAAAGCUGGGGGAGCAAACCGGAUUAGAUACCCGGGUAGUCCCAGCUGUAAACUAUGCAAACUCAGUGAUGCAUUGGCUUGUGGCCAAUGCAGUGCUGCAGGGAAGCCGUUAAGUUUGCCGCCUGGGAAGUACGUACGCAAGUAUGAAACUUAAAGGAAUUGGCGGGGGAGCACCACAAGGGGUGAAGCCUGCGGUUCAAUUGGAGUCAACGCCGGG